AUUUAUUUAGUAUAUUAGUACAUUUGACUUCCAAUCAAAAAGAUUGAUAAAAUCAAAAUAAAUA
rnacentral:tRNA from 1 species